ACCCUCCCGCGCCGCCCUCGCGGCGUGCCCUGCGGAAGUCCGAGGCACCGCCCCCACCGGAGAGCUCCGGGACUCCCCGAGGGGUUGGAGUGUUAGCGUUUGCGUGUUAACGGGAAAAAGCCAAAACUGUAAAAUAAUUUAAAGGGUCAGUGCCACCCUCCUGUGAAGACAAAGGAACUGGCUGUGCCCAUGUGCCGUGGAUGGCUGCACAUGGAACCACUGCCCUGGAUGGUGGGCUCACAGGUCCUGACUGGCUGCACAUGGAAUCACUGCCCUAGAUGGUGGGCUCACAGGACUGGCUCCCCCCAACACCUGGCUGAUGGUUCCUGUGAACACCAGCACACAGGUUUGCAGAAACUAACCUUGGAUUCUUGAGCUCA